rnacentral:rRNA from 1 species
AGCAUAUCAAUAAGCGGAGGAAAAGAAACUAACAAGGAUUCCCCUAGUAACUGCGAGUGAAGAGGGAAAAGCUCAAAUUUUGAAUCUGGCGGUCUUUUGGUCGUCCGAGUUGUAAUCUAGAGAAGCGUCUUCCGCGCUGGACCGUGUAUAAGUUUCCUGGAAUGGAACGUCGUAGAGGGUGAGAAUCCCGUCUUUGACACGGACUACCAGGGCUAUGUGAUGCGCUCUCGACGAGUCGAGUUGUUUGGGAAUGCAGCUCAAAUAGGGUGGUAAAUUCCAUCUAAAGCUAAAUAUAGGCGAGAGACCGAUAGCGAACAAGUACCGUGAGGGAAAGAUGAAAAGAACUUUGGAAAGAGAGUUAAACAGUACGUGAAAUUGCUGAAAGGGAAACGCUUGAUGUCAGUCGCGUCGGCCGGGGAUCAGCCUUGCUUAACCGCUCGGCGUACUUCCUGGCAGACGGGUCAGCAUCAGUUUCGACCGUCGGAAAAUGGCUUGGGGAAUGUGGCACUCUUUCGGGAGUGUGUUAUAGACUCGAGUCGAAUGCGAUGGUUGGGACUGAGGAACUCAGCACGACCUUAGGGUUCGGGACUUUGGUCCACGUUUGCGUGCUUAGGAUGCUGGCAUAAUGGCCUUAAGCGACCCGUCUUGAAACACGGACCAAGGAGUCUAACAUGCAUGC